rnacentral:rRNA from 1 species
UACGUAGGGUGCAAGCGUUAAUCGGAAUUACUGGGCGUAAAGCGUGCGCAGGCGGUUCGUUGUGUCGGCGGUGAAAGCCCCGGGCUUAACCUGGGAAUGGCCGUUGAAACUGGCGAACUGGAGUGUGGCAGAGGGGGGUGGAAUUCCGCGUGUAGCAGUGAAAUGCGUAGAGAUGCGGAGGAACACCGAUGGCGAAGGCAACCCCCUGGGCUAACACUGACGCUCAGGCACGAAAGCGCGGGGAGCAAACAGG